rnacentral:lncRNA from 1 species
ACCCUCAGGCUGGUAGACAUCACCCUCAGGCUGGUAGACAUCACCCUCAGGCUGGUAGACAUCACCCUCAGGCUGGUAGACAUCAUCCUCAGGCUGGUAGACAUCAUCCUCAGGCUGGUAGACAUCAUCCUCAGGCUGGUAGACAUCACCCUCAGGCUGGUAGACAUCAUCCUCAGGCUGGUAGACAUCAUCCUCAGGCUGGUAGACAUCACCCUUAGGCUGGUAGACAUCAUCCUCAGGCUGGUAGACAUCAUCCUCAGGCUGGUAGACAUCAUCCUCAGGCCGUGGGAGUUAGGGUUGUAGACAUCAUCCUCAGGCUGGUAGACAUCAUCCUCACGUGGGAGUUAGGCUGGUAGACAUCAUCCUCAGGCUGGUAGACAUCAUCCUCAGGCUGGUAGACAUCAUCCUCAGGCCGUGGGAGUUAGGCUGGUAGACAUCACCCUCAGGCUGGUAGACAUCACCCUCAGGCUGGUAGACAUCAUCCUCAGGCCGUGGGAGUUAGGGUUGUAGACAUCAUCCUCAGGCUGGUAGACAUCAUCCUCACGUGGGAGUUAGGCUGGUAGACAUCAUCCUCAGGCUGGUAGACAUCAUCCUUAGGCUGGUAGACAUCAUCCUCAGUCCGUGGGAGUUAGGCUAGUAGACAUCAUCCUCAGGCUGGUAGACAUCACCCUCAGGCUGGUAGACAUCAUCCUCAGGCCGUGGGAGUUAGGCUGGUAGACAUCAUCCUCAGGCUGGUAGACAUCACCCUCAGGCCGUGGGAGUUAGGCUGGUAGACAUCAUCCUCAGGCUGGUAGACAUCA